rnacentral:rRNA from 1 species
CCUACGGGUGGCAGCAGUGGGGAAUAUUGCACAAUGGGCGAAACCCUGAUGCAGCAACGCCGCGUGAGUGAAGAAGUAUUUCGGUUUGUAAACCUCUGUCCUCUAUGAAGAUGAUGACGGUAGCAGAGGAGGAAGCUCCGGCUAACUACGUGCCAGCAGCCGCGGUAAUACGUAGGGGGCGAGCGUUGUCCGGAUUUACUGGGGGUAAAGGGUGCGUAGGUGGGUUGGCAAGUCAGUAGUGAAAACCAUGGGCUUAACCCAUGAAAUGCUAUUGAACCUGUGGAGCUUGAGUGAAGUAGAGGAAGGUGGAAUUCCCGGUGUAGCGGUGAAAUGCGUAGAGAUCGGGAGGAACACCAGUGGCGAAGGCGGCCAUCUGGGAUAUAACUGACGCUGAGGAACGAAAGCGUGGGUAGCAAACAGGAUUAGAUACCCGAGUAGUC